UAAUUCACAAACUGGCAUCUCAUGCCUGUUCUUGGUGAUACGUACGUAUGAUGAAACUGUUCAAUCUAGACUAUGUCUAUCAUGUUAACAUGGCAAAUAGAUACAAUAGGCACAUCCCAAGUGUAUAUGGAUCAACCUAGACAAAAAUUUCUCAUUCAACAAACCACACCAGCCCAAACACAAAACAUCAUCAAUAUGCGUUGGUAGGUAACAGCUCCCUUGUCUUAUAAACAAGAUUUGGCUGUGUUGGAAAACCCUUUAGGAUUAUUUAUCUCUAUCUUGAAUGCACAAGGAGUGACCUUGGUACUCUAUGACUGCGCAAUAUCGAAUAGUUGCCUGAGAAUCUUCAUUUCCUAACAAAAUCAGGCUGAUUAGUGACGGAUCUCACCCAUGCCCAUUUAUGGUCCAUUACGUUAACUUCAUUCUUAGCUUCUGCAACUUCUUUCAAUGGGAUAUAAGCAUAGUUCCCAUUAAUAGGUCCACACACAAAUCCAGUGUA
rnacentral:misc_RNA from 1 species